UACGUAGGGGGCUAGCGUUGUCCGGAUUUAUUGGGCGUAAAGAGCGUGUAGGCGGCCAGAUAGGUCUGCUGUGAAAACUCGAGGCUCAACCUCGAGACGUCGGCGGAAACCAUCUGGCUAGAGUCCGGAAGAGGAGAGUGGAAUUCCUGGUGUAGCGGUGAAAUGCGCAGAUAUCAGGAAGAACACCCGUGGCGAAGGCGGCUCUCUGGGACGGUACUGACGCUGAGACGCGAAAGCGUGGGGAGCAAACAGG
rnacentral:rRNA from 1 species